GACGAACGCUGGCGGCGCGCCUAACACAUGCAAGUCGAGCGAUGAAAUUUUAACCGAUCUCUUCGGAGGGGAGAUAAAAUGGAUUAGCGGCGGACGGGUGAGUAACACGUGAGAAACCUGCCUUUCACAAGGGGAUAGCUUCGGGAAACCGGGAUUAAUUCCCUCUUACACAUUUCCUUCGCAUGGAAGAAAUGUUAAAACUUGGGUGGUGAAAGAUGUGGUCGCGCGUGAUUAGCUAGUUGGCGGGGUAACGGCCCACCAAGGCCAUGAUCAGUAACCGGGCUGGGAGGGUGAACCGUAACACUGGAGGUGGGACAAGGUCCAAACUCCUGCGGAAGGAAGGAGGGGGGAAUAAUGCACGACGGAGGAAACAAUGAUGCAGCGAGGUCGCGAGAGCGAUGAAGGCUUGCGGGUCGUAAAGCUCUGUCCUAUGGGAAGAUAAUGACGGUACCAUAGGAGGAAGCCCCGGCUAACUACGUG
rnacentral:rRNA from 1 species